rnacentral:rRNA from 1 species
CUCAUGGCCCUUAUGGGCAGGGCUACACACGUACUACAAUGGUCGGUACAAAGGGCUGCCAACCCGCGAGGGGGAGCCAAUCCCAGAAAACCGAUCGUAGUCCGGAUUGGAGUCUGCAACUCGACUCCGUGAAGUCGGAAUCGCUAGUAAUCGCAGAUCAGCAUGCUGCGGUGAAUACGUUCCCGGGCCUU